rnacentral:rRNA from 1 species
AGAGGGGGACAACAGUUGGAAACGACUGCUAAUACCGCAUACGAUCUAAUCUCGGCAUCGAGGAUAGAUGAAAGGUGGCCUCUACAUGUAAGCUAUCACUGAAGGAGGGGAUUGCGUCUGAUUAGCUAGUUGGAGGGGUAAUGGCCCACCAAGGCGAUGAUCAGUAGCCGGUCUGAGAGGAUGAACGGCCACAUUGGGACUGAGACACGGCCCAG